UACGAGGGGAGCAAGCGUUGUUCGGAUUUACUGGGCGUAAAGGGCGCGUAGGCGGUCGUGACAAGUCACUUGUGAAAUCUCCGGGCUUAACUCGGAACGGUCAAGUGAUACUGUCGGACUAGAGUACAGAAGGGGCAACUGGAAUUCUCGGUGUAGCGGUGAAAUGCGUAGAUAUCAGGAGGAACACCGGUGGCGAAGGCGGGUCUCUGGGCCGAUACUGACACUGAGGAGCGAAAGCGUGGGGAGCGAACAGG
rnacentral:rRNA from 1 species